GACGAACGCUGGCGGCGUGCUUAACACAUGCAAGUCGAACGGAAAGGCCCCUUUGGGGGUACUCGAGUGGCGAACGGGUGAGUAACACGUGAGUAACCUGCCCUUGACUUCGGGAUAACUUCAGGAAACUGGGGCUAAUACCGGAUAGGAAUCCUUGCUGCAUGGUGGGGGUUGGAAAGCUUCGGCGGUUUUGGAUGGACUCGCGGCUUAUCAGCUUGUUGGUGGGGUAGUGGCUUACCAAGGCUUUGACGGGUAGCCGGCCUGAGAGGGCGACCGGCCACAUUGGGACUGAGAUACGGCCCAGACUCCUACGGGAGGCAGCAGUGGGGAAUAUUGCACAAUGGGCGGAAGCCUGAUGCAGCAACGCCGCGUGCGGGAUGACGACCUUCGGGUUGUAAACCGCUUUCAGCAGGGGCGAAGCUUGUGGUGACGGUACCUGCAGAAGAAGCACCGGCUAACUACGUG
rnacentral:rRNA from 1 species